rnacentral:rRNA from 1 species
AUGGUCCUGCAAUGGCUCAUCAACAGUGUCAUCAUUCCAUUUCGGGACUGGCUGGGUGCCAGUCGACUGAAUUCUCCGAUUUGGGUCAGUCGACUGCUCUCCACCCUCCAUCUCCAAUCUAAUGGCUGUCAGGUCGUCUUCAACCUCCCGGCGAAUCUUCUUCCAACUGCCCCACGGGCCAACGGCCGAACCGCCGGCCACCACCGCCCGCGGCCGGCGGCACUACCGCGCAGCCUUGCCGCCCCGCCCUCCCAGGGACCUCCUCCCACCGCCGUGCUGCCACCGCCCCGGCCAUCCCUCUAG